rnacentral:rRNA from 1 species
GAUGAACGCUGGCGGCGUGCCUAAUACAUGCAAGUCGAGCGAACAGAUGAGGAGCUUGCUCCUCUGACGUUAGCGGCGGACGGGUGAGUAACACGUGGAUAACCUACCUAUAAGACUGGGAUAACUUCGGGAAACCGGAGCUAAUACCGGAUAAUAUAUUGAACCGCAUGGUUCAAUAGUGAAAGACGGUUUUGCUGUCACUUAUAGAUGGAUCCGCGCCGCAUUAGCUAGUUGGUAAGGUAACGGCUUACCAAGGCAACGAUGCGUAGCAGACCUGAGAGGGUGAUCGGCCACACUGGAACUGAGACACGGUCCAGACUCCUACGGGAGGCAGCAGUAGGGAAUCUUCCGCAAUGGGCGAAAGCCUGACGGAGCAACGCCGCGUGAGUGAUGAAGGUCUUCGGAUCGUAAAACUCUGUUAUUAGGGAAGAACAAAUGUGUAAGUAACUAUGCACGUCUUGACGGUACCUAAUCAGAAAGCCACGGCUAACUACGUG